rnacentral:rRNA from 1 species
UGGCGGACGGGUGAGUAAUGCUUGGGAAUCUGGCUUAUGGAGGGGGAUAACUGUGGGAAACUGCAGCUAAUACCGCGUAUUCUCUGAGGAGGAAAGGGUGGGACCUUAGGGCCACCUGCCAUAAGAUGAGCCCAAGUGGGAUUAGGUAGUUGGUGGGGUAAAGGCCUACCAAGCCUGCGAUCUCUAGCUGGUCUGAGAGGAUGACCAGCCACACUGGAACUGAGACACGGUCCAGACUCCUACGGGAGGCAGCAGUGGGGAAUAUUGCGCAAUGGGGGGAACCCUGACGCAGCCAUGCCGCGUGAAUGAAGAAGGCCUUCGGGUUGUAAAGUUCUUUCGGUAAUGAGGAAGGGAUGUUGUUAAAUAGAUAGCAUCAUUGACGUUAAUUACAGAAGAAGCACCGGCUAACUCCGUGCCAGCAGCCGCGGUAAUACGGAGGGUGCGAGCGUUAAUCGGAAUAACUGGGCGUAAAGGGCACGCAGGCGGACUUUUAAGUGAGAUGUGAAAUCCCCGAGCUUAACUUUUAGACUGCAUUUCAGACUGGGAGUCUAGAGUACUUUAGGGAGGGGUAGAAUUCCACGUGUAGCGGUGAAAUGCGUAGAGAUGUGGAGGAAUACCGAAGGCGAAAGCAGCCCCUUGGGAAUGUACUGACGCUCAUGUGCGAAAGCGU